rnacentral:rRNA from 1 species
UUAAGCGACUAAGCGUACACGGUGGAUGCCCUGGCAGUCAGAGGCGAUGAAGGACGUGCUAAUCUGCGAAAAGCGUCGGUAAGGUGAUAUGAACCGUUAUAACCGGCGAUGUCCGAAUGGGGAAACCCAGUGCAAUUCGUUGCACUAUCGUUAACUGAAUACAUAGGUUAACGAGGCGAACCGGGGGAACUGAAACAUCUAAGUACCCCGAGGAAAAGAAAUCAACCGAGAUUCCCCCAGUAGCGGCGAGCGAACGGGGAGCAGCCCAGAGUCUGAAUCAGCUUGUGUGUUAGUGGAACGGUCUGGAAAGUCCGACGGUACAGGGUGAUAGUCCCGUACACCAAAAUGCACAGGCUGUGAACUCGAAGAGUAGGGCGGGACACGUGGUAUCCUGUCUGAAUAUGGGGGGACCAUCCUCCAAGGCUAAAUACUCCUGACUGACCGAUAGUGAACCAGUACCGUGAGGGAAAGGCGAAAAGAACCCCGGCGAGGGGAGUGAAAAAGAACCUGAAAACCGUGUACGUACAAGCAGUGGGAGCACCUUCGGGGUGUGACUGCGUACCUUUUGUAUAAUGGGUCAGCGACUUAUAUUCUGUAGCAAGGUUAACCGUAUAGGGGAGCCGCAGGGAAACCGAGUCUUAACUGGGCGUUAAGUUGCAGGGUAUAGACCCGAAACCCGGUGAUCUAGCCAUGGGCAGGUUGAAGGUUGGGUAACACUAACUGGAGGACCGAACCGACUAAUGUUGAAAAAUUAGCGGAUGACUUGUGGCUGGGGGUGAAAGGCCAAUCAAACCGGGAGAUAGCUGGUUCUCCCCGAAAGCUAUUUAGGUAGCGCCUCGUGAACUCAUCUUCGGGGGUAGAGCACUGUUUCGGCUAGGGGGUCAUCCCGACUUACCAACCCGAUGCAAACUACGAAUACCGAAGAAUGUUAUCACGGGAGACACACGGCGGGUGCUAACGUCCGUCGUGAAGAGGGAAACAACCCAGACCGCCAGCUAAGGUCCCAAAGUCAUGGUUAAGUGGGAAACGAUGUGGGAAGGCACAGACAGCCAGGAUGUUGGCUUAGAAGCAGCCAUCAUUUAAAGAAAGCGUAAUAGCUCACUGGUCGAGUCGGCCUGCGCGGAAGAUGUAACGGGGCUAAACCAUGCACCGAAGCUGCGGCAGCGACACUAUGUGUUGUUGGGUAGGGGAGCGUUCUGUAAGCCUGCGAAGGUGUGCUGUGAGGCAUGCUGGAGGUAUCAGAAGUGCGAAUGCUGACAUAAGUAACGAUAAAGCGGGUGAAAAGCCCGCUCGCCGGAAGACCAAGGGUUCCUGUCCAACGUUAAUCGGGGCAGGGUGAGUCGACCCCUAAGGCGAGGCCGAAAGGCGUAGUCGAUGGGAAACAGGUUAAUAUUCCUGUACUUGGUGUUACUGCGAAGGGGGGACGGAGAAGGCUAUGUUAGCCGGGCGACGGUUGUCCCGGUUUAAGCAUGUAGGCUGGUUAUCCAGGCAAAUCCGGAUAAUCAAGGCUGAGGUGUGAUGACGAGGCACUACGGUGCUGAAGUAACAAAUGCCCUGCUUCCAGGAAAAGCCUCUAAGCAUCAGGUAACAUCAAAUCGUACCCCAAACCGACACAGGUGGUCAGGUAGAGAAUACCAAGGCGCUUGAGAGAACUCGGGUGAAGGAACUAGGCAAAAUGGUGCCGUAACUUCGGGAGAAGGCACGCUGGUGUGUAGGUGAAGCCCCUGCGGGUGGAGCUGAGACCAGUCGAAGAUACCAGCUGGCUGCAACUGUUUAUUAAAAACACAGCACUGUGCAAACACGAAAGUGGACGUAUACGGUGUGACGCCUGCCCGGUGCCGGAAGGUUAAUUGAUGGGGUUAUCCGUAAGGAGAAGCUCUUGAUCGAAGCCCCGGUAAACGGCGGCCGUAACUAUAACGGUCCUAAGGUAGCGAAAUUCCUUGUCGGGUAAGUUCCGACCUGCACGAAUGGCGUAAUGAUGGCCAGGCUGUCUCCACCCGAGACUCAGUGAAAUUGAACUCGCUGUGAAGAUGCAGUGUACCCGCGGCAAGACGGAAAGACCCCGUGAACCUUUACUAUAGCUUGACACUGAACAUUGAGCCUUGAUGUGUAGGAUAGGUGGGAGGCUUUGAAGCGUGGACGCCAGUCUGCGUGGAGCCAACCUUGAAAUACCACCCUUUAAUGUUUGAUGUUCUAACGUUGGCCCCUUACCGGGGUUGCGGACAGUGUCUGGUGGGUAGUUUGACUGGGGCGGUCUCCUCCCAAAGCGUAACGGAGGAGCACGAAGGUUAGCUAAUCCUGGUCGGACAUCAGGAGGUUAGUGCAAUGGCAUAAGCUAGCUUGACUGCGAGCGUGACGGCGCGAGCAGGUGCGAAAGCAGGUCAUAGUGAUCCGGUGGUUCUGAAUGGAAGGGCCAUCGCUCAACGGAUAAAAGGUACUCCGGGGAUAAACAGGCUGAUACCGCCCAAGAGUUCAUAUCGACGGCGGUGUUUGGCACCUCGAUGUCGGCUCAUCACAUCCUGGGGCUGAAGUAGGUCCCAAGGGUAUGGCUGUUCGCCAUUUAAAGUGGUACGCGAGCUGGGUUUAGAACGUCGUGAGACAGUUCGGUCCCUAUCUGCCGUGGGCGCUGGAGAAUUGAGGGGGGCUGCUCCUAGUACGAGAGGACCGGAGUGGACGCAUCACUGGUGUUCGGGUUGUCAUGCCAAUGGCACUGCCCGGUAGCUAAAUGCGGAAGAGAUAAGUGCUGAAAAGCAUCUAAGCACGAAACUUGCCCCGAGAUGAGUUCUCCCUGAGACUUUAAGUCUCCUGAAGGAACGUUAAAGACGAUGACGUUGAUAGGCCGGGUGUGUAAGCGCAGCGAUGCGUUGAGCUAACCGGUACUAAUGAACCGUGAGGCUUAACCUU